UCAGGUAUUUUUUUUUUAAUCUAACUUAAUAUUAUGUUUUGUACUUGUUAUACCCUGUAGUUAAUUGUGUUUAGUGUUAUGUGUUUUUUCCGCCAAAGUCACCAACAGAGAAUAUUAAUAACAAAUAAUAACCAUCUAUACCGUUAAAUCACUUAUUCAACGAAAACUCUUAUAAAGAAUAAUCGAGAGAGCAGUCUUCAUUCAAGUCACAACAGAUUCAAUGACCAAUUUUCUCAAUCACUUUUAUGUUUUGGGAAAACGGUUAGAAUCACACGCAACUCAACCUAAGAGCAAAGAAAUGUUUUGUAAAUCAAAUUCUCAUGCUCAAAUUGCUCACGGUCUUCAUAACUCUCGUGUAACCUGGUGUUAGUUAUAUGUUAAUAUUGAAGUGGACAAGCAUGGAUGUACUGAAAUUAAUUCUAUGCCUUCAAGAUGACCUUUCUAAUGCCCAAGGGAUUAAGGUUCAACAUCAUCAACUAGCUUACUACUACAUACAUGAAAUCAAUGUAUAUUAAACAAAAGCCAAGUUUCGCUCGAAAUGCUAACAACAUCUCAGUACAAUCGAGGGAUGUGUGUUAAAGCCUGACCAAACUGUUAGUGAAUUUCCAAUCAUCGAAGACACGGACGUCAAAAUGAAAGAACAGCAAUUUGAUGUUUUAUUGAACUGAAUGAGCUCAAGAACGAAGAGAAGAAUUAUCCGGAAAAACUAUUGUCGAUGCUACUUGACUCUUUUUGAAUUUUUUUCUUAUAUAUUUGCACAAAAUAAAAUUAGGUUUUUUUCUCCUAAA